rnacentral:rRNA from 1 species
AUCCUUCGGGGUGUGACUGCGUACCUUUUGUAUAAUGGGUCAGCGACUUAUAUUCUGUAGCAAGGUUAACCGUAUAGGGGAGCCGUAGGGAAACCGAGUCUUAACUGGGCGUCUAGUUGCAGGGUAUAGACCCGAAACCCGGUGAUCUAGCCAUGGGCAGGUUGAAGGUUGGGUAACACUAACUGGAGGACCGAACCGACUAAUGUUGAAAAAUUAGCGGAUGACUUGUGGCUGGGGGUGAAAGGCCAAUCAAACCGGGAGAUAGCUGGUUCUCCCCGAAAGCUACUUAGGUAGCGCCUCGUGAAGUCAUCUACGGGGGUAGAGCACUGUUUCGGCUAGGGGUCCAUCCCGGAUUACCAACCCGAUGCAAACUGCGAAUACCGUAGAAUGUUAUCACGGGAGACACACGGCGGGUGCUAACGUCCGUCGUGAAGAGGGAAACAACCCAGACCGCCAGCUAAGGUCCCAAAGUCAUGGUUAAGUGGGAAACGAUGUGGAAGGCCCAGACAGCCAGGAUGUUGGCUUAGAAGCAGCCAUCAUUUAAAGAAAGCGUAAUAGCUCACUGGUCGAGUCGGCCUGCGCGGAAGAUGUAACGGGGCUAAACCAUGCACCGAAGCUGCGGCAGCGGACGUAUCACUUAAAACGCUCCACGCGACGAUGAGCGGGCGCGUGCAAGCCACAUUCCCGUUAAGUCGGCAACAGCCGGACAAGGGCAAGGCGUUUUAAGGAUACGUCCGUUGGGUAGGGGAGCGUUCUGUAAGCCUGUGAAGGUGGCCUGUGAGGGCUGCUGGAGGUAUCAGAAGUGCGAAUGCUGACAUAAGUAACGAUAAAGUGGGUGAAAAGCCCGCUCGCCGGAAGACCAAGGGUUCCUGUUCAACGUUAAUCGGAGCAGGGUGAGUCGACCCCUAAGGCGAGGCCGAAAGGCGUAGUCGAUGGGAAACAGGUUAAUAUUCCUGUACUAGGUGUGACUGCGAAGGGGGGACGGAGAAAGCUAGGUUUGCCGGGCGACGGUUGUCCCGGUUCAAGCGUGCAGGUGGAAAGAGCAGGCAAAUCCGCUCUUUCAUAACACUGAGGCGUGAUGACGAGCUACCACGGUAGUGAAGGAAUUGAUGCUACGCUUCCAGGAAAAGCCUCUAAGCUCCAGGUCACAUCGAAUCGUACCCCAAACCGACACAGGUGGUCAGGUAGAGGAUACCCAGGCGCUUGAGAGAACUCGGGUGAAGGAACUAGGCAAAAUGGUGCCGUAACUUCGGGAGAAGGCACGCUGGCAUGUAGGUGGAGGGCCUUGCGCCCCGAGCUGAAGCCAGUCGCAGAUACCAGCUGGCUGCAACUGUUUAUUAAAAACACAGCACUGUGCAAACACGAAAGUGGACGUAUACGGUGUGACGCCUGCCCGGUGCCGGAAGGUUAAUUGAUGGGGUUAUCCGUAAGGAGAAGCUCUUGAUCGAAGCCCCGGUAAACGGCGGCCGUAACAAUAACGGUCCUAAGGUAGCGAAAUUCCUUGUCGGGUAAGUUCCGACCUGCACGAAUGGCGUAAUGAUGGUCAGGCUGUCUCCACCCGAGACUCAGUGAAAUUGAACUCGCCGUGAAGAUGCGGUGUACCCGCGGCAAGACGGAAAGACCCCGUGAACCUUUACUAUAGCUUGACACUGAACAUUGAGCCUUGAUGUGUAGGAUAGGUGGGAGGCUUUGAAGUGUGGACGCCAGUCUGCAUGGAGCCAACCUUGAAAUACCACCCUUUAAUGUUUGAUGUUCUCACUCAGGCCCGUCAUCCGGGCCGAGGACAGUGUCUGGUGGGUAGUUUGACUGGGGCGGUCUCCUCCCAAAGCGUAACGGAGGAGCACGAAGGUUAGCUAAUCACGGUCGGACAUCGUGAGGUUAGUGCAAAGGCAUAAGCUAGCUUGACUGCGAGAGUGACGGCUCGAGCAGGUGCGAAAGCAGGUCUUAGUGAUCCGGUGGUUCUGCAUGGAAGGGCCAUCGCUCAACGGAUAAAAGGUACUCCGGGGAUAACAGGCUGAUACCGCCCAAGAGUUCAUAUCGACGGCGGUGUUUGGCACCUCGAUGUCGGCUCAUCACAUCCUGGGGCUGAAGUAGGUCCCAAGGGUAUGGCUGUU